rnacentral:tRNA from 1 species
GUUUACAUAGUUUAAAAAAAACAUUACACUUUCAUUGUAAAAUUAGUCCUAAACUUGUAAAUA